rnacentral:rRNA from 1 species
UACGGGGGGAGCAAGCGUUGUUCGGAUUUACUGGGCGUAAAGGGCGCGUAGGCGGCCACCGCAAGUCGACUGUGAAAUCUCUGGGCUUAACCCAGAAAGGUCAGCCGAUACUGCGGGGCUAGAGUGCAGAAGGGGCAACUGGAAUUCUCGGUGUAGCGGUGAAAUGCGUAGAUAUCGAGAGGAACACCUGCGGCGAAGGCGGGUUGCUGGGCUGACACUGACGCUGAAGCGCGAAAGCCAGGGGAGCAAACGGG